CACGGGGGGAGCAAGCGUUGUUCGGAUUCAUUGGGCGUAAAGGGCUCGUAGGUGGCUUUGUAAGUCGGAGGUGAAAUCCCACGGCUCAACCGUGGACACGCCUUCGAAACUGUGAAGCUUGAGGCUGGGAGAGGAAAUCGGAAUUCCUGGUGUAGCGGUGAAAUGCGUAGAUAUCAGGAGGAACACCGGUGGCGAAGGCAGCAAACUGGCCGGCAUCUGACGCUGAGGCGCGAAAGCGUGGGUAGCAAACAGG
rnacentral:rRNA from 1 species